rnacentral:rRNA from 1 species
GAUGAACGCUGGCGGCGUGCUUAACACAUGCAAGUCGAACGGAAAGGCUCCUGCUUGCAGGGGUACUCGAGUGGCGAACGGGUGAGUAACACGUGGGUGAUCUGCCCUGCACUUCGGGAUAAGCCUGGGAAACUGGGUCUAAUACCGGAUAGGACCACAUUUUGGAUGGUGUGGUGGAAAGUUUUUCGGUGUGGGAUGAGCUCGCGGCCUAUCAGCUUGUUGGUGGGGUAAUGGUCUACCAAGGCGUCGACGGGUAGCCGGCCUGAGAGGGUGUACGGCCACAUUGGGACUGGGAUACGACCCAGAGUCCUGCGUGAGGCAGGAGUGGGGAGUAGUGCACAAUGGGCGCGAGCCUGAUGCAGCGACGACGCGUGGGGGAUGACGGCCUUCGGGCUGUAAACUCCUUUGGCUAGGGACGAAGCGUUUUUGUGACGGUACCUGGAGAAGAAGCACCGGCUAACUACGUG